rnacentral:rRNA from 1 species
UACGUAGGGGGCAAGCGUUGUCCGGAUUUAUUGGGCGUAAAGAGCGUGUAGGCGGUUUUGGUAGGUCCGCUGUGAAAACUCGAGGCUCAACCUCGGAGACGCCGGUGGAAACCAUCAGACUAGAGUCCGGAAGAGGAGAGUGGAAUUCCUGGUGUAGCGGUGAAAUGACGCAGAUAUCAGGAGGAACACCGGCGGGCGAAGGCGGG